rnacentral:rRNA from 1 species
ACUACGGGUGGCUGCAGUGAGGAAUAUUGGUCAAUGGACGAGAGUCUGAACCAGCCAAGUAGCGUGAAGGAUGACUGCCCUAUGGGUUGUAAACUUCUUUUAUAUGGGAAUAAAAUGUUCCACGUGUGGGAUUUUGUAUGUACCAUAUGAAUAAGCAUCGGCUAACUCCGUGCCAGCAUCCGCGGUAAUUCGGAGGAUCCGAGCGUUAUCCGGAUUUUAUGGGGUUAAAGGGGGCGUAGGUGGAUUGUUAAGUCAGUUGUGAAAGUUUGGGGCUCAACCGUAAAAUUGCAGUUGAAACUGGCAGUCUUGAGUACAGUAGAGGUGGGCGGAAUGCGUGGUGUAGCGGUGAAAUGCUUAGAUAUCACGCAGAACUCCGAUUGCGAAGGCAGUUCACUGGACUGCAACUGACACUGAGGCUCGAAAGUGUGGGUAUCAAACAGGAUUAGAUACCCUGGUAGUC